AUUCCAGCUCCAAUAGCGUAUAUUAAUGUUGUUGCAGUUAAAAAGCUCGUAGUUGGAUUUCUGGUCGGAACGCCGGUCCGGCUCCGCAAGGGGUCGUGUAUUGGUUUCUCCUGCCAUCCUCAGGGGGAGCUGCGCUGGUAUUCAUUUAUCGGCGUGGUUACGCCUGUCGUUUACUGUGAACAAAUUAGAGUGUUCAAAGCAAGGUGUACUUGAAUACAUUAGCAUGGAAUAAUAAGAAAGGACUUUGGUGGUUCUUUUUGAUAUUUUGUUGGUUUGCACGCCAAAGUAAUGAUUAAUAGGAGCAGUUGGGGGUAUUCGUAUUCAAUUGUCAGAGGUGAAAUUCUUGGAUUUAUUAAAGACUAACUUAUGCGAAAGCAUUUGCCAAGGAUGUUUUCAUCG
rnacentral:rRNA from 1 species